rnacentral:rRNA from 1 species
AACUGGGAUUAGAUACCCCACUAUGCUCAACCGNUAAANCUUAGACAAANUUNAUAAUGUAUUUGUUUGCCUGAAGAUUACAAGCACAAGCUUAAAACUCAAAGGACUUGGCGGCGCUUUAAAUCCACCUAGAGGAGCCUGUCCUAUAACCGAUAAUCCCCGUUAAACCUCACCCCCUCUUGCUCNNNNUCAGCCUAUAUACCGCCGUNGUCAGCUUNACCCNUGUAAAGGUCUAUUNAGUNAAGCAAAAACGGUUCUGCCCAAAACGUCAGGUCGAGGUGUAGCUUAUGAGGGGGGAAGAGAUGGGCUACAUUUCCUGCCUAGGGUACUUUACGGAUUAUUCAUUGAAACAUGAAUAUUGAAGAAGGAUUUAGUAGUAAGCAAAAAAUAGAGGNUCUUGCUGAAACAGNCUCUAAAGGGGG